rnacentral:rRNA from 1 species
CAAUACUUAGUGGCAGACGGGUGAGUAACAUGUGGGUAUCUACCCUUUGGCCUGGAAUAACACGAGGAAACUUGUGCUAAUACCGGAUAAGUCUUUACGGAGAAAGCUUUAUGCACCAUUGGAUGAGCCCGCACUUGAUUAGUUUGUUGGUAGGGUAAUGGCCUACCAAGACUUUGAUCAAUAGCUGAUUUGAGAGGAUGAUCAGCCACAUUGGGACUGAGACACGGCCCAAACUCCUACGGGAGGCAGCAGUGGGGAAUCUUGCACAAUGGAGGAAACUCUGAUGCAGCGAUGCCGCGUGAGUGAAGAAGGCCUUUGGGUUGUAAAGCUCUUUCGUCGGGGAAGAAAAUGACUGUACCCGAAUAAGAAGGUCCGGCUAACUUCGUGCCAGCAGCCGCGGUAAUACGAAGGGACCUAGCGUAGUUCGGAAUUACUGGGCUUAAAGAGUUCGUAGGUGGUUGAAAAAGUUGGUGGUGAAAUCCCAGAGCUUAACUCUGGAACUGCCAUCAAAACUUUUCAGCUAGAGUUUGAUAGAGGAAAGCAGAAUUUCUAGUGUAGAGGUGAAAUUCGUGGAUAUUAGAAAGAAUACCAAUUGCGAAGGCAGCUUUCUGGAUCAUUACUGACACUGAGGAACGAAAGCAUGGGUAGCGAAGAGGAUUAGAUACCCUCGUAGUCCAUGCCGUAAACGAUGUGUGUUAGACGUUGGGAAUUUAUUUUCAGUGUCGCAGCGAAAGCGAUAAACACACCGCCUGGGGAGUACGACCGCAAGGUUAAAACUCAAAUGAAUUGACGGGGACCCGCACAAGUAGUGGAGCA